CCUACGGGAGGCAGCAGUAGGGAAUAUUGGACAAUGGGUGCGAGCCUGAUCCAGCCAUGCCGCGUGCAGGAAGAAGGCCUUCUGGGUUGUAAACUGCUUUUGCCGGGGGAUAAAAGACCCAUGCGUGGGGAAUUGAAGGUACCCGGUGAAUAAGCCACGGCUAACUACGUGCCAGCAGCCGCGGUAAUACGUAGGUGGCGAGCGUUGUCCGGAUUUAUUGGGUUUAAAGGGUGCGUAGGCGGCCCCGUAAGUCAGUGGUGAAAUACGGCAGCUCAACUGUCGAGGUGCCAUUGAUACUGCGGGGCUUGAGUACAGUCGAGGUAGGCGGAAUUGACGGUGUAGCGGUGAAAUGCUUAGAUAUCGUCAAGAACACCGAUAGCGAAGGCAGCUUGCUAGGCUGUAACUGACGCUGAGGCACGAAAGUGCGGGGAUCAAACAGGAUUAGAUACCCUGGUAGUCCGCACAGUAAACCGAUGGUCACUCGGUGUUGGUCGGUACGACGGCCGAGCGCCGUACGACGAAGACGUAGUGACCGACCGNGGGAGACGCCGCGAGGUAAGGUAACGUACGAAGAAGUAGACGGCGUGAGACGNGCCGACGGACGACGACGAGGGAGGAGG
rnacentral:rRNA from 1 species